rnacentral:pre_miRNA from 1 species
CAAGUACUCCCUCCGUCCGAAAAUACUUUUCAUCAAAAUGGAUAAAAAAGAUGUAUCUAGAACUAAUAUACAUUUAGAUACAUCCCCUUUUAUUCAUUUUGAUAACAAGUAUUUCCGGACGGAGGGAGUACUAC